GGUACAUCAGCUAUAGCAUUGAAAUGGUGUAUUGCUUUGCCAUUCAUUGUGUGCACAGGACUGGGGGCAAUGGAACCUGUAGUCUGUUCAGGUUCCCCAUAAACCGAAAGGAGAAGAAGAAAUGUGUUGAUAGAUGCAGACGAGCGGACAGGGAUGUUAACGGGAAUGACCGGAUAUGUAGCUGUCAUUUUGUAGAUGGCAAGAAUUUCAAGAAAUAAAAUGGACCAACUAUUUUUAAUUAUCAGUAGAAAGCUCUACAUUUCCCAGAAAUGAACACACAUAGAAGAUGCAAAAGUUGAUGGAAAGGGAAGAUGUGAAAGAAAGCAUACCAGUAGAUGUACCUACAAUUUCCCAGGACCAUAAUUAUUACACGCAUGACUACAGGGCUUAUGAUGACAUUGAUGCUGAACUACCAACAAAAUCUAUUCAAGAGUAAGAAAGGGAGAUAGCCCGUCUAGAGGAUGAACUUGGCCGCAUGAAAGUGCGCCCAUCCAAAAUGUCGGUUCAGGACAUUAUUGGUGACAAUGAUAAGAUGCUGCUCUACACAUCUUUUCCUGUCGAUGUCUUCCAAGUCCUGGUGGGUGUUCUGAAGAGGUUAGCUCCUUUCAACUACUAUGCUGGCUGGACUGUAGCCUGCUUCAGCCUAGAGGAUCAACUAUUAAUCACCCUUAUGAAAUAACGUCUGAAUUGUAUGGACUUAGAUUUGGCGGUUAGAUUCGAUACAAGCAGAAGAACUGUUUCGAACAUUAUAAAUACAUAUAUUUUUGUGCUUCAUGAAAUAUUGUUUCAAGGAAUUGUACUUAAAGUAGGAAUUUUAAGCCAACUCAAAUGCAAGGGAUCCAUGCGGAAGUCAUUUGAAGACUUUAGUUCUGCAAGAAUUGCAAUGGAUGCUACAGAAAUUGUGCAGCAUGUUCCUUGUAACAUGAACCAUCAAACACUUUCUUAUAGUAAUUAUAAAAGUAGACAUACUGUAAAAGCUGUUACAUGUGUUGCUCCAAAUGGUGCAUUAGUUUUUUGUUCAGAUCUUUAUCCAGGUUCUACAUCAGAUGCAGCUAUUGUUGAUCACUUCAAAAUAUUAGGGCAACUUAAACAAAGUGACUUGAUUUUGGCUGAUAAGGGCUUCAAUAUUUUUGAUAAACUUCCUGCGGGAGUUUCCUGAAACAUUCCUCCUUUUCUUUCUAGUAAAGGCCAUUUCACAAAAGAGGAAGCUUUACUUUGCUUUAAAAUUGGAAGGAGCCGAAUUCAUGUAGAAAGGGCAAAUGAAAGGAUAAAUAAUUAUGAUAUUUUAGAUCAUAUUCCUGCAUAAUACAGACAUUUAGCGACAAUUUUUUUUCAAUUGUGUUGUUGUCUUGUUAAUCUUCAGGAUCCAUUGUUAAAGGAAAUAGCAGAUAAAUAUGAGAUUGAUUCAAAUUAAAGCUCUCAAAUAUCGAAGUACUUUAGCAGUACUUAGUAAUCCAUGGAUCCCUUGCAUUCGAGUUGGCUUGGAAUCCCUACUUUGUGUAACUGUAAAAUUCCUUCAAACAAUAUUACGUGUAUAUGAAGCUGUAUUCCCAAAUCUUUUUGUAAAAAGAAUGGAUUUAGUUGAGACUUGUAUGUACCAUAAAGAGUUGAUCCUCUUUGCUGAAGCAAGUUUCAGUCUAGCUAGCAUAGUAGUUGAAAGGAGCGAACCUCUUCAGACACUCUGAAGACAGUGCAGAGGAAUGGUUAUUACAUUUUAGUUGGCAAUUUGUAUUUCUAAUUUUAGCAUAUGCUUAUGUCAAUU